rnacentral:rRNA from 1 species
AGAGUUUGAUCAUGGCUCAGAUUGAACGCUGGCGGCAGGCCUAACACAUGCAAGUCGAACGGUAACAGGAAGCAGCUUGCUGCUUCGCUGACGAGUGGCGGACGGGUGAGUAAUGUCUGGGAAACUGCCUGAUGGAGGGGGAUAACUACUGGAAACGGUAGCUAAUACCGCAUAACGUCGCAAGACCAAAGAGGGGGACCUUCGGGCCUCUUGCCAUCAGAUGUGCCCAGAUGGGAUUAGCUUGUUGGUGGGGUAACGGCUCACCAAGGCGACGAUCCCUAGCUGGUCUGAGAGGAUGACCAGCCACACUGGAACUGAGACACGGUCCAGACUCCUACGGGAGGCAGCAGUGGGGAAUAUUGCACAAUGGGCGCCAAGCCUGAUGCAGCCAUGCCGCGUGUAUGAAGAAGGCCUUCGGGUUGUAAAGUACUUUCAGCGGGGAGGAAGGUGUUGUGGUUAAUAACCACAGCAAUUGACGUUACCCGCAGAAGAAGCACCGGGCUAACUCCGUGCCAGCAGCCGCGGUAAUACGGAGGGUGCAAGCGUUAAUCGGAAUUACUGGGCGUAAAGCGCACGCAGGCGGUCUGUUAAGUCAGAUGUGAAAUCCCCGGGCUCAACCUGGGAACUGCAUCUGAUACUGGCAGGCUUGAGUCUCGUAGAGGGGGGUAGAAUUCCAGGUGUAGCGGUGAAAUGCGUAGAGAUCUGGAGGAAUACCGGUGGCGAAGGCGGCCCCCUGGACGAAGACUGACGCUCAGGUGCGAAAGCGUGGGGAGCAAACAGGAUUAGAUACCCUGGUAGUCCACGCCGUAAACGAUGUCGACUUGGAGGUUGUGCCCUUGAGGCGUGGCUUCCGGAGCUAACGCGUUAAGUCGACCGCCUGGGGAGUACGGCCGCAAGGUUAAAACUCAAAUGAAUUGACGGGGGCCCGCACAAGCGGUGGAGCAUGUGGUUUAAUUCGAUGCAACGCGAAGAACCUUACCUGGUCUUGACAUCCACGGAAGUUUUCAGAGAUGAGAAUGUGCCUUCGGGAACCGUGAGACAGGUGCUGCAUGGCUGUCGUCAGCUCGUGUUGUGAAAUGUUGGGUUAAGUCCCGCAACGAGCGCAACCCUUAUCCUUUGUUGCCAGCGGUCCGGCCGGGAACUCAAAGGAGACUGCCAGUGAUAAACUGGAGGAAGGUGGGGAUGACGUCAAGUCAUCAUGGCCCUUACGACCAGGGGCUACACACGUGCUACAAUGGCAUAUACAAAGAGAAGCGACCUCGCGAGAGCAAGCGGACCUCAUAAAGUAUGUCGUAGUCCGGAUUGGAGUCUGCAACUCGACUCCAUGAAGUCGGAAUCGCUAGUAAUCGUGGAUCAGAAUGCCACGGUGAAUACGUUCCCGGGCCUUGUACACACCGCCCGUCACACCAUGGGAGUGGGUUGCAAAAGAAGUAGGUAGCUUAACCUUCGGGAGGGCGCUUACCACUUUGUGAUUCAUGACUGGGGUGAAGUCGUAACAAGGUAACCGUAGGGGAACCUGGCGGUUGGAUCACCU